UCCUCCUGUCGCAGGGUGGCUGGCGGGCCGGUGCAGCCGCCACUGACGCUCGCGAGUCACUGGCCGUUAUAGCCGCCAGUUGCCGGCCUCCGCGCGCCGUCCACCGCACGCACCGCCGCUGCAACCCGGACUAUGGGCAGCACAUGAAAUGCGGUGGAGGCCUCGAUCGGCCCGGCGGCUAGCAGCUGCGGCUCAGAUGCAUGACUGCGGCCCGGUGGCUGUGGCCUUGAUGUGCAGCUCGCACCCAUGCGCUGUCCGGCAGCUGUGGUACCCGCCAAUCCGCCGCGGAUCAGGAGAACGGAGGAGGUGAAGCUGCAGCGUCGAGCUACCCGCCGGCAGCCGCACUGAUCCGCCGGGCCUCCCGCCGGACCACUGCGUGCCACCGGCCCGCCACGCUCCUCGGCGCGAGCAGCGAGGCCACUCUGGGCCGCCGGCGCCGCAGCUUGCGGAGGAGGAUCCACCACGUCGAGCCGCCGCGCCUCCCACCGGGCCACCGCGCGCAGUCGCAUCGCCGCGCUCCUCGGCGCGAGUGGUGAGGCCACGCUACGCUCAUCAAGGGAAAGAGAUUAUUGCGGACCUAGGCUCCGUGGGCGUCUCCUGCUAAUGCACCGCCAUCACUCGCUGCCUGCACGCAAAGAACAUUGGCGGCGUGACGUUUUGGAGCUUGCCUAGGCACAGUGAUGGCAACGGCUGGGCUGGGCGAUUCAGGAUUCAGGAAUGGCAGCGUGGUUGACAGGAGGAGCGUGGCCCCAAAUGCCAUCCUACAGUUGCAAGUGCACGUCAUGUGCUCACUGAAAUGCCUAUGUGAGAUGUUCAAGUCCUACUAUCGUUUUCCAAACCUACAUUUCAUCAGCAAAGGUAGCUGGAGGCUCUCCAGGAAAUGUGUCUAAUCUCUAUUUUCAUUUUGCAAAUCUGUACUUGGAUUUCAUGUGGAUUAUUUACUUGCCUAAAUGAUCAUCUCUACCUGCGGAUGAUCUCACAGAUGCAUCUUCUCAUGUUCAGUUUCACUAACAGGAAAAAGCCACUAAGUGAACCUUCAAUCAGAACAGCAACAGGGAAAUGCCAUGUAAGUGGACCUCUACUGCAUUCUUGGAUGGAUCAUUUUUUUCCUCAUCUAUAAUGGUUGAUGCGUAGUUAUUUACUACUAUUUUGGUUGCACAAAUGGACCAUAUUUUGGUUGCACAAAUGGACCAAUGAUGUAAGUGUUGCCCAGCAUAUUUUGCAAACAGUUUGCACAUGCUAAUUCGUCAGUUAAGUUCCAGCAUCAACUUUUACGGGACUUACAUUUUUUUAUAUUGUACACAAACUGGGCCUUCAUGUUAAAGUGCUUCAUCUAUAAAAAAGCUAGGUGUAACAGUAGGAUCGGCUGAUAGGGUGAAAAUGUAACGUAUGAAAUAGUUACCUUGAUGAUAGAUCAUUGAUCAAGCUUACUCAGCAUAUGUUCCUUUGAA